rnacentral:rRNA from 1 species
UACGUAGGGUGCGAGCGUUGUCCGGAAUUAUUGGGCGUAAAGCGCGUGUAGGCGGCUCGGUAAGUCUGCUGUGAAAGUCCAAGGCUCAACCUUGGAAAGCCGGUGGAUACUGUCGAGCUCGAGUCCGGAAGAGGCGAGUGGAAUUCCUGGUGUAGCGGUGAAAUGCGCAGAUAUCAGGAGGAACACCAAUGGCGAAGGCAGCUCGCUGGGACGGUACUGACGCUGAGACGCGAAAGCGGUGGGGAGCAAACAGG